UUAAAACACAAUUCGGACCGACCGGCCGAGAGAACCUUGCUUCUCGGAAGUUACCGCCCGGACCGGGUGAAUAACACUGGGUUACCCUCCUAUAGACUGGGAUAACUUCGGGGAACCGGAGCUAAUACCGGAUAAUAUUUGAACCGCAUGGUUCAAAAGUGAAAGACGGUCUUGCUGUCACUUAUGGAUGGAUCCGCGCUGCAUUAGCUAUUGGUAAGGUAACGGCUUACCAAGGCAACGAUGCAUACCGACCUGAGAGGGUGAUCGGCCACACUGGAACUGAGACACGGUCCAGACUCCUACGGGAGGCAGCAGUAGGGAAUCUUCCGCAAUGGGCGAAAGCCUGACGGAGCAACGCCGCGUGAGUGAUGAAGGUCUUCGGAUCGUAAAACUCUGUUAUUAGGGAAGAACAUAUGUGUAAGUAACUGUGCACAUCUUGACGGUACCUAAUCAGAAAGCCACGGCUAACUACGUGCCAGCAGCCGCGGUAAUACGUAGGUGGCAAGCGUUAUCCGGAAUUAUUGGGCGUAAAGCGCGCGUAGGCGGUUUUUUAAGUCUGAUGUGAAAGCCCACGGCUCAACCGUGGAGGGUCAUUGGAAACUGGAAAACUUGAGUGCAGAAGAGGAAAGUGGAAUUCCAUGUGUAGCGGUGAAAUGCGCAGAGAUAUGGAGGAACACCAGUGGCGAAGGCGACUUUCUGGUCUGUAACUGACGCUGAUGUGCGAAAGCGUGGGGAUCAAACAGGAUUAGAUACCCUGGUAGUCCACGCCGUAAACGAUGAGUGCUAAGUGUUAGGGGGUUUCCGCCCCUUAGUGCUGCAGCUAACGCAUUAAGCACUCCGCCUGGGGAGUACGACCGCAAGUG
rnacentral:rRNA from 1 species